AAGAAUUUUGCAUGGUCGGUUGCCGGCAAAUUAGGUGUAGAAUUUUUUUUUUCAGGCACGUCAUGAUCGCACGGCCUGCCAGGCCGGGAUCGGACUCCGGAUCGGCAUGAACCACCAUGCAGCUUUGCGUGUGCUUGCUUCCAAGUCAUCUACAGAAUUUUUUUUAUCUACGUAUUUGAAAUUAUUUCCUAGCGCGUCAAUUUGUGAACCGCAAGCGCACGAAUCAUCGUAAUUUUUUUUAGAGUAUUCCAUCCAAGGUUUAUCAAUCUGUGGAUCGACAACGAACCGACUAGGAUUUUCUAUGUAGCUCAAUGGAUCUAAUCCUAACAUGAAGCAUAGAUUGCAUACAAAGGGUAUCCUUGAUGUAUGAGAACACAGAUUGAUCACAUCCACAGAUAUAUAUUUAAGAAAACACUACCAAGGAUAGCAAGAGCCUAUCAUCUAUUAGUUGUAGUUCUAGCUAAUAAGCAAGUACAACAUGUAUCUCAUCCAAAACAAUCUUUAAACUACUACCUCCGGUCAACCUUCCAAAAGCCCCCACCUUACACGGAAGCAGAUCCCAACAUGAUCCCCC
rnacentral:lncRNA from 1 species